rnacentral:rRNA from 1 species
UGUGAGCUCGAUGAGUAGGGCGGGACACGUGGUAUCCUGUCUGAAUAUGGGGGGACCAUCCUCCAAGGCUAAAUACUCCUGACUGACCGAUAGUGAACCAGUACCGUGAGGGAAAGGCGAAAAGAACCCCGGCGAGGGGAGUGAAAAAGAACCUGAAACCGUGUACGUACAAGCAGUGGGAGCACGCUUAGGCGUGUGACUGCGUACCUUUUGUAUAAUGGGUCAGCGACUUAUAUUCUGUAGCAAGGUUAACCGAAUAGGGGAGCCGAAGGGAAACCGAGUCUUAACUGGGCGUUAAGUUGCAGGGUAUAGACCCGAAACCCGGUGAUCUAGCCAUGGGCAGGUUGAAGGUUGGGUAACACUAACUGGAGGACCGAACCGACUAAUGUUGAAAAAUUAGCGGAUGACUUGUGGCUGGGGGUGAAAGGCCAAUCAAACCGGGAGAUAGCUGGUUCUCCCCGAAAGCUAUUUAGGUAGCGCCUCGUGAAUUCAUCUCCGGGGGUAGAGCACUGUUUCGGCAAGGGGGUCAUCCCGACUUACCAACCCGAUGCAAACUGCGAAUACCGGAGAAUGUUAUCACGGGAGACACACGGCGGGUGCUAACGUCCGUCGUGAAGAGGGAAACAACCCAGACCGCCAGCUAAGGUCCCAAAGUCAUGGUUAAGUGGGAAACGAUGUGGGAAGGCCCAGACAGCCAGGAUGUUGGCUUAGAAGCAGCCAUCAUUUAAAGAAAGCGUAAUAGCUCACUGGUCGAGUCGGCCUGCGCGGAAGAUGUAACGGGGCUAAACCAUGCACCGAAGCUGCGGCAGCGACGCUUAUGCGUUGUUGGGUAGGGGAGCGUUCUGUAAGCCUGUGAAGGUGUGCUGUGAGGCAUGCUGGAGGUAUCAGAAGUGCGAAUGCUGACAUAAGUAACGAUAAAGCGGGUGAAAAGCCCGCUCGCCGGAAGACCAAGGGUUCCUGUCCAACGUUAAUCGGGGCAGGGUGAGUCGACCCCUAAGGCGAGGCCGAAAGGCGUAGUCGA